AUUCUAUUGAUAACCCUGUAUGCAUGCAGUUUUUUUGUGAAUAUGAAUGUUUUGAAUUUUAGGAGAGGAAGGUGAUAAUUUCUACAUCAUUGACAGUGGCGAAGUUGAGGUAAAGUGCACCAACAUGACACUGAUUGCCCUGACAGCAUAUACACUGUAACUGACAAAAUAAACUCUGGCCCAAAAAUUAGUUGACAUGAUACUUUAUAUGCAUAAAUUAUAUCAUACCACAAUUUCUUUUUCAAAUUUACCAUCAUGGUUAUAACUUGAACUGUAUUUUUGAGACGUGGAACGACAAACCUCAAAAUGUUGGUACGGUAAAUAAUAUAUACAAACAUAAUAAAAGAAUGAACAAAUUGCACUGAUCAUUACUGAUCUCGAUGUAUUGCUUUACUUAGGUUGUGACAAAUAAUAAAACGACUUAUUUACAUAACAAGACGCCUGCUCAGGCGUUCACACUUCCCUCAAAUUAACGACACUGGACAGUGUUGUGUGAUGCCCGACAUAUGAGAGAGAGAGAGCUGUCACAUUGGCAAUAUUGCCCGUUCUUGAGCAGUCCAGGGGAAAAUUUAGCUAUUGUUAUACCCAUACAAUUUAGAAUGGAACCUGAGAUACAUAUGUCACAGCUAAGUAAUCGAUGCAAUAUAUAAAGUCGAAAAGCAAAGACGAUGACGAUAUACUGUACUCGAUGCCGAUAUAUAAAAUCAGUCAAUACUCAAUAGAUGCAAUAUUCAAUAACAAUGUCAUGUGUUUUACUAUAGUCUAUAGACUGUAAAACGUACCUUGGAUAUUUUUAUAAUGAACAGUCAAGUAAGACCACUGCAUAUAUUUAUUAUUGCAGCACUUUUAAUCUGGGAGGAAACACAAUGGUAAUACAGUAUAAACAAUAAACAUUGUCACCAAUUUUAUAGUCUGUACUGUAAAACUAAAGAUUUCAUCAAAACGUCUGUAGACAAGCUAGGGUAGCGGCCCAUUUUUAUGUGGGCCAGUGAUCUAGGUAAGCUGUAAAAACCAUGAACAGUUUUCUCGAUCGAAAAACAGAACAACGGUGAUUUAAUACACUUUCCUUUCGGGAAUUGUAAUAAAUAAAAUCCAACAUAAUUGAUUCAUUUCUGUUAACCCAAUCCCCUGAUACAGUAACUCGAACAAUUUUUUUCUUCCCUUGGGAGCUCAAGUUAGCGGGGUUCUACUAUAUGUACAUAACAUUUGAGUGAGAGGUUGAAACCCCAGGAUGGAUGCUUUCAACUAAACCUAGUAAGUGUCAUAGUUGAUGUGUCAGUAAUGUACUGUUCCUUUAAUUCUUUAAGGUCUAUGUGAAUGAACAUUUAGUGUCAGUUAUUGGGGAAGGAGGGGCAUUUGGAGAAUUAGCUUUGAUCUAUGGUACCCCUAGAGCAGCUACUAUAAAGG
rnacentral:lncRNA from 1 species